UCUAAGGAAAAUCGGAAACCUACACAUUCAACGAAACGAUAUUUAGUUUUGAGUGGUCAACACUCAAUUGGAAGUCAUAAGAUUCGACCUGGGACUGUAGCUCAGCUGGUUAGAGCGCACCCCUGAUAAGGGUGAGGUCGGAGGUUCGAGUCCUCUCAGUCCCAUAAUGGGGAAUUAGCUCAGCUGGGAGAGCACCUGCUUUGCAAGCAGGGGGUCAUCGGUUCGGACCCGAUAUUCUCCAUAACAACCAUCUGGUUGUUAAUUAGUUCUUUGAAAACUGAAUCAUAAUUGUAAAUUUUUAAAUUCAUUAUAAUUGAUCAUAUCAAUUAAAUUGAGCCGAAAAAAUACACCGCGUAAUUUUUUGAGUUUUUUAAAUAAGUUUAAAAUCGCUUGUGACCAUUGAGUCACAAUACUCAAACGAAAUCAUCAACGAAAGUUGAUC
rnacentral:tRNA from 1 species